UUAGUUUUAACAUUCUCUUAUUUUAGAAGUUACAGGGGGGGGGACACACAUUUUACCACUUUGGAAGUGUCUCUCGCGCAAACUAUUCAGUUUAAAAAAAAUGAUAUUAGAAACCUCAAUAUCAUUUUUGAAGACCUAUCCAUAGAUACCCCACACGUAUGGGUUUGAUGAAAAAAAAAUUUUUGAACGAUUUAUGACGUAUUCAAAAAAAACUACUUACUAGAUCUCGUUCAAACCAAUUUUCGGUGGAAGUUUACAUGGUAAUGUACAUCAUAUAUUUUUUUUUAGUUUUAUCAUUCUGUUAUUUUAGAAGUUACAGGGGGGCGGGGACACACAUUUUACCACUUUGGAAGUGUCUCUCGCGCAAACUAUUCAGUUUAGAAAAAAAAUGAUAUUAGAAACCUCAAUAUCAUUUUUGAAGACCUAUCCAUAGAUACCCCACACGUAUGGGUUUGAUGAAAAAAAAAUUUUGAUUAAUUUUUAUG